AUUAGAAAGCCGAUCACCAGAGAGUGACAUUUUUGAAGCAAAAUAUUUGCUCACAUUCACACCACUACCACACUUCAAAACCAACAUUCUUAGCUCCUCGUCCUCCCUUCCUCCAACCUCAAAAACCAUGACUGAGUUGGUCUCUUCCAUUGCAGCAAAUGUCAUUGAGAAGCUAGGGUCCCUUGCUUAUCAAGAGAUUUCCUUGGCAUGGGGCAUUGCAAGCGAUCUGAAAAAGCUUGAGGACACCAUGUCCACCAUCCAAGCCGUGCUGCUCGAUGCUGAGGAGAAGCAAGCAGAAAACCACCAGCUCAGAGUUUGGCUGGAGCGACUCAAAGCUGUCUUUCAUGAUGCCGUAGAUGUGGUGGAUGAAUUUGAAUGUGAAGAUCUACGAAGGCAAGUUGUGAAAACAUAUGGAAGCACUGGUAGAAAGGUAUGCCGUUUCUUUUCAUUUUCUAACCCGCUUGCCUUCGGUAUUAAAAUGGGUCAUAGAGUCAAGAAGAUCAGAGAGAGGUUAGAUUUGAUAGCAAAGGAUAGAGAUCAAUUUCAUCUUAAGGUGCGACACGAUGAGAAGCAUAUUGUGCACAGGGAGACCCACUCAUUUGUUUGUGAUUCUGAUGUUAUUGGGAGGGCUUAUGACAAGCAAAAGAUAAUAGAUCUUUUGAUGCAACCAGGUGAUGAUGGUAAUGUUUCUGUGAUUCCAAUAGUUGGAAUCGGAGGUAUGGGCAAGACUACACUUGCUCAGUCAGUGUAUAAUGAUAAAAUGGUAAAAACCAGGUUUUAUCCCAGAGUAUGGGUCUGUGUGUCAGUGGACUUUAAUGUUAAGAAGUUGGCAAAAGAAAUCCUUAAGUCUGCAGGUGGUGUUAUUAGUGAAAGCAUGAGUAUGAAUGAAGUGCAAGCUAGUUUACAAAGUAUUUUAGAGAAAAAUAGAUUUUUUAUCGUUUUGGAUGAUGUUUGGAAUGAGGACCGUAACAAAUGGAUUGCAAUGAAGAAUUUGUUAACAGAAGGUGGUCAAGGAAGUAAAAUUCUUGUCACUACACGUAGUCAAAAAGUUGCCUCGAUGAUGGCUUCUGGGCCCUUCCACCACAUAAAAGGUAUUUCAAAGGAUGUUUGUUUGUCCUUGUUAUUAAGAUGGGCCUUCAAUAGAGGAGAGGAGAAACAAUAUCCCAACCUAGUAGAAAUUGGAGAACAAAUUGUGAAAAAAUGCAAAGGUGUUCCUUUGGCUGUAAGGACUUUAGGAAGCUUACUUUAUUCUAAAACAGAGGAAAGUGAUUGGAUCUCUAUAAGGGAUAGUGAGAUAUGGAAACUAGAGCAACAAGAAGAAGACAUUUACCCGCAUUAAGAUUGAGUUAUGAUCAAUUGCCAUCGUACUUGAAACAAUGUUUUGCUUAUUGCUUAUUGUAUCCAAAAGAUUUUAGAUAUAAUAGCUCCUACUUAAUUCAGUUGUGGAUGGCAAAUGGACUUCUCCAAAAGUCCAACAACAGUAAUCAAGAGUUGGAAGAUAUUGGAUUACAGUAUAUAAAAGAGUUAUUAUCAAGAUCUUUCUUUCAAGAAGUUCAGGACCAUGGUGUUUUUUUGACAUUUAAAAUGCAUGAUUUGUUACAUGAUCUUUCAUUAUAUGUUGGACAAAAUGAUUAUUGCUUAAUUGAAAACACUCACAGCACAAGCAAUUUUGAAAAGGCUAGGCACGUGUCAAUUUUGGACCAUAAUUUGGGUGUUGAUGCAAUGAGAGAUUUUUUACACAAGUUGAGUAAUAAGUUGCGGACUAUUAUUUUCUCAUGUAAAGAAUGCACAUAUGAUGAACACGAUUUUAUUAAUAUUAAUGAAUCCUUGAUGGAAACAUGCAUUUCAAGGUUUAAGUACUUACGGGUGCUAGAUCUAAAAUUUUCAAGGUUGGAGGUUGUACCAAGCUUAAUUAGUACUUUGAAGCAUUUGAGAUAUCUUGACUUACAAGGGAAUAAGAAAAUCAAGAGAUUGCCUAACUCCAUUUGCAACCUGCAAAACUUGGAAACUUUGAUGCUUGCUGGCUGUGAAGACCUUGAAGAAUUACCAAGAGAUAUAAGAAAGAUGAUCAGCCUCAGAUAUUUGUGGAUAACCACAAAACAAACGCAUUUGCCUGCCAAUGGAAUUGAGUACAUGUGUUCACUUCGAAAUUUGGUCUUUAUAGGAUGUCCCAGACUAUUGCAUUUUCCUGAAGGGAUCCAACGCCUCACUGCCCUUCACAGAUUGGAGUUUACAUAUUGUGAAAGCUUGACGUCUUUGCCACGUGGUAUGAAACAUCUAACUGCAUUGGAAAUUUUGGGAAUUUGGGAUUGUGAAAAGCUUAUUUUGAUGGAAGGGGAUGACUACCCAAUGAGGCUUCGAAGACUGACAAUCGGUUUCUUGCCAAAACUAGUGUCUCUACCGCAAGGGCUUAUACCAUCUGCUAAUACUUUACAGUUCUUAGCAAUUUAUGACUGUGGGAACUUGGCGAAAUUGCCACAGUGGCCCCCAAAUCUCAGUUUACUUCCAAAACUUGACAUUUUGAACUGCCCAAAAUUAUUGUCUCUGCCUAAAAGGAUGGAUCGCCGCACUGUUCUAAAAGAUUAGCACAUAUGGAACGCAAUAAACAACUUUGAUCCCCAAGUUUUUAUUUGGCUUGGUGAUAAUAUUUAUGGAGACAUCAAGCAUCCUUUUAAGCUAUUUGGAAAGGAGAGAACACUCGGACCCUGGAAGAA